rnacentral:rRNA from 1 species
CAGCCGCCGCGGGAAUACGUAGGUGGCAAGCGUUAUCCGGAAUUAUUGGGCGUAAAGCGCGCGUAGGCGGUUUUUUAAGUCUGAUGUGAAAGCCCACGGCUCAACCGUGGAGGGUCAUUGGAAACUGGAAAACUUGAGUGCAGAAGAGGAAAGUGGAAUUCCAUGUGUAGCGGUGAAAUGCGCAGAGAUAUGGAGGAACACCAGUGGCGAAGGCGGCUUUCUGGUCUGCAACUGACGCUGAUGUGCGAAAGCGUGGGGAUCAAACAGGAUUAGAUACCCCAGUAGUCCCUGUCUCUUAUAA